GAGUUUGAUCCCUGGCUCAGAUUGAACGCUGGCGGCAGGCUUACCACAUGCAAGUCGAGCGGUAACAGGGGUAGCUUGCUACCCGCUGACGAGCGGCGGACGGGUGAGUAAUGCAUAGGAAUCUGCCCAGUAGUUGGGGAUAGCCCGGGGAAACCCGGAUUAAUACCGAAUACGCCCUACGGGGGAAAGCAGGGGAUCUUCGGACCUUGCGCUAUUGGAUGAGCCUAUGUCGGAUUAGCUAGUUGGUGGGGUAAAGGCCUACCAAGGCGACGAUCCGUAGCUGGUCUGAGAGGAUGAUCAGCCACAUCGGGACUGAGACACGGCCCGAACUCCUACGGGAGGCAGCAGUGGGGAAUAUUGGACAAUGGGGGCAACCCUGAUCCAGCCAUGCCGCGUGUGUGAAGAAGGCUUUCGGGUUGUAAAGCACUUUCAGUGAGGAGGAAAACCUUAUGGCUAAUAUCCAUGAGGCUUGACGUUACUCACAGAAGAAGCACCGGCUAACUCCGUGCCAGCAGCCGCGGUAAUAC
rnacentral:rRNA from 1 species